AAAUUGAAGAGUUUGAUCAUGGCUCAGAUUGAACGCUGGCGGCAGGCCUAACACAUGCAAGUCGAACGGUAACAGGAAGCAGCUUGCUGCUUCGCUGACGAGUGGCGGACGGGUGAGUAAUGUCUGGGAAACUGCCUGAUGGAGGGGGAUAACUACUGGAAACGGUGGCUAAUACCGCAUAACGUCGCAAGACCAAAGAGGGGGACCUUCGGGCCUCUUGCCAUCAGAUGUGCCCAGAUGGGAUUAGCUAGUUGGUGAGGUAACGGCUCACCAAGGCGACGAUCCCUAGCUGGUCUGAGAGGAUGACCAGCCACACUGGAACUGAGACACGGUCCAGACUCCUACGGGAGGCAGCAGUGGGGAAUAUUGCACAAUGGGCGCAAGCCUGAUGCAGCCAUGCCGCGUGUAUGAAGAAGGCCUUCGGGUUGUAAAGUACUUUCAGCGGGGAGGAAGGUGUUGUGGUUAAUAACCACAGCAAUUGACGUUACCCGCAGAAGAAGCACCGGCUAACUCCGUGCCAGCAGCCGCGGUAAUACGGAGGGUGCAAGCGUUAAUCGGAAUUACUGGGCGUAAAGCGCACGCAGGCGGUCUGUCAAGUCGGAUGUGAAAUCCCCGGGCUCAACCUGGGAACUGCAUUCGAAACUGGCAGGCUUGAGUCUUGUAGAGGGGGGUAGAAUUCCAGGUGUAGCGGUGAAAUGCGUAGAGAUCUGGAGGAAUACCGGUGGCGAAGGCGGCCCCCUGGACAAAGACUGACGCUCAGGUGCGAAAGCGUGGGGAGCAAACAGGAUUAGAUACCCUGGUAGUCCACGCCGUAAACGAUGUCUACUUGGAGGUUGUGCCCUUGAGGCGUGGCUUCCGGAGCUAACGCGUUAAGUAGACCGCCUGGGGAGUACGGCCGCAAGGUUAAAACUCAAAUGAAUUGACGGGGGCCCGCACAAGCGGUGGAGCAUGUGGUUUAAUUCGAUGCAACGCGAAGAACCUUACCUGGUCUUGACAUCCACAGAACUUUCCAGAGAUGGAUUGGUGCCUUCGGGAACUGUGAGACAGGUGCUGCAUGGCUGUCGUCAGCUCGUGUUGUGAAAUGUUGGGUUAAGUCCCGCAACGAGCGCAACCCUUAUCCUUUGUUGCCAGCGAUUAGGUCGGGAACUCAAAGGAGACUGCCAGUGAUAAACUGGAGGAAGGUGGGGAUGACGUCAAGUCAUCAUGGCCCUUACGACCAGGGCUACACACGUGCUACAAUGGCGCAUACAAAGAGAAGCGACCUCGCGAGAGCAAGCGGACCUCAUAAAGUGCGUCGUAGUCCGGAUUGGAGUCUGCAACUCGACUCCAUGAAGUCGGAAUCGCUAGUAAUCGUGGAUCAGAAUGCCACGGUGAAUACGUUCCCGGGCCUUGUACACACCGCCCGUCACACCAUGGGAGUGGGUUGCAAAAGAAGUAGGUAGCUUAACCUUCGGGAGGGCGCUUACCACUUUGUGAUUCAUGACUGGGGUGAAGUCGUAACAAGGUAACCGUAGGGGAACCUGCGGUUGGAUCACCUCCUUACCUU
rnacentral:rRNA from 1 species